rnacentral:rRNA from 1 species
UACGAAGGGAGCUAGCGUUGUCCGGAAUUAUUGGGCGUAAAGAGCUCGUAGGCGGUCUGUCGCGUCGGCUGUGAAAACCCGGAGCUCAACUCCGGGCCUGCAGUCGAUACGGGCAAACUGGAGUGUUGCAGGGGAGACUGGAAUUCCUGGUGUAGCGGUGAAAUGCGCAGAUAUCAGGAGGAACACCAAUGGCGAAGGCAGAUCUCUGGGCCGUAACUGACGCUGAGGAGCGAAAGCAUGGGGAGCGAACAGG